rnacentral:rRNA from 1 species
CGGGGUGCACCAGGCGCGAAAACUUUGCAAUGCGGGAAACCGUGACAAGGGAACUCUGAGUGCCCGUUAAAUCGGGCUGUCCAUCGGUUUAAAUAACCGGUGAAGAAAGGGCCGGGCAAGACCGGUGCCAGCCGCCGCGGUAAUACCGGCGGCUCGAGUGGUGGCCACUAUUACUGGGCUUAAAGCGUUCGUAGCUGGUUUGUUAAGUCUCUGGGGAAAUCUUCCGGCUUAACCGGAAGGCGUCUCAGGGAUACUGGCAAACUAGGGACCGGGAGAGGUGAGAGGUACUCCAGGGGUAGGAGUGAAAUCCUGUAAUCCUUGGGGGACCACCUGUGGCGAAGGCGUCUCACCAGAACGGCUCCGACAGUGAGGGACGAAAGCUGGGGGAGCAAGCCGGAUUAGAUACCCGGGUAGUCCCAGCUGUAAACGAUGCGCGUUAGGUGUAUCGGUGACCACGAGUCACCGAGGUGCCGAAGAGAAAUCGUGAAACGUGCCGCCUGGGAAGUACGGUCGCAAGGCUGAAACUUAAAGGAAUUGGCGGGGGAGCAC